rnacentral:rRNA from 1 species
UUACCUUGUUACGACUUCACAGUCGCAGAAUCUACCGUGGUAAUCAUACUCUUACGGUUAGGCUAACUACUUCUGGUAAAACCCACUCCAUGGUGUGACGGGCAGUGUACAGAGACCGGGAACAUGUUCACCGCGACAUAGCGAUCCACGUUACUAGCACGAUUCCGACUUCACCCAGUCGAGUUGCAGACUGCGAUCCGGACUACGAUCGGGUUUCUGGGAUUGGCUUCCCUCGCGGGUUGGCGACCACUCUGUCCCGACCAUUGUAUGACGUGUGAGCCCUACCAUAGAACCGCAGACGACAUCAUCCCCACCACCUCCGGUGUCACCGGCGAUCCUCGUAGAGUACCACUCAUGGCGCUAAUGACAAAGGUGCCACUCGUGCGGGCACCAACAACAUCUCCUGUACGAGCAACCGGCAACUUGCGCGCUCCUAUAUUCCCGUUCUCCUGAAACCUCCAAAUCUCUUCGGGAUUCCGGAGCAUGUCAAAAGUAAGUAGGUAUACUUGUUGCAUCAGGUAAUCCCAUCGUCACAGCUUUGUGCAGUGCGUCAGUUCCCAAAUUUUAAUCUGCGACCAUAUACGAGCAUUCCGGCUUCACAGUAACUGCUGCAAAACCCGAAGGCACAGCAACUAGUGACAUCAUUUGGGAGCAUGGACACAGGAAGUAUCUGAAUCCUAUUUGCUCUGCGCUUUCGUACGCAGGCGUCAGUAUUUAUCGAAAGCUGCCGCCGUAAUGUUCUCGCAUAUCUGCGCAUUUCCACUUUGCUACGCGAUGCCUCCCCUCGACCCUCUAUCGGUGAUUGAAAAUGCAGUUCAAAGUUAGCUCUAAGGUUUCUCUUUCUUUCGAACGCCUGCGCGCUUGCGCCAGUAAUUCCGAUUAACGCUGCACCUACGUAUUACCGCGGCUGCUGGCACGUAGUUAACCAGGUGCUUAUUCUGCGGGUACCGUCAGUUGCACGGGGUAUUAUCCGUGCCGUUUCUUUCCUGCCAAAAGUGCUUUACAACCCGAAGACCUUCAUCGCACACGCAGGAUGGCUGGAUCGGGGUUUCCCCAUUGUCGAGAAUUCCCACUGUUGCCUCCGUAAGGGUCACGGGCCGUCUCGAUCCCAGUGUGGCUGGUCGUCCUCUCCAGAGCCAGCUGCGGAUCGUCGCCUUGGUGAGCCGUUACCCGCAACUAGCCCCAAUCCGAUAUCGGCCGCUCUGAUAGUGCGGGGCGAUCCCCGCUUUCCCCGAAGGGGCGUGUGCGGUAUUAGCUGCGCUUUCGCGUGGUUAUCCCCCGCUACUGAGCGUUCCGACCAUUACUCACCCAUUCGCCACUCGCCUACCGAACCGAAAAUCCGUACGCCGUUCGACUUGCAUGUGUAAAGCAUCCGCCGGCGUUCAAUCGAACCGUAAUCAAAC